GUACUAAAAUAGUUUUUUUGGGGUAUCUACUUUACUAUUUAUAUUUGACAACUUUUACUUCACUAUAUUCCUAAAGAAAAUAAUGUACUUUUUACUCCUUACAUUUUCCCUGACACCCAAAACACUGUUACAUUAGCAGCAUUUAGGCUGUCCACUUUGAAGAGCUGAGACAGAAUGGCUCUAUAAGGAAUUGGAACAUAUAGGACCAAGCCCUGCUAUCAUUAUAAUCGAAUCAGAAGCAGAUAUGAGCGUUAUUCUCGGAACUAGAAGAUAAUGGUGAAGAACGGUCUAGGGAAGUUAUUUUCAUAUAGAGAGGAAGGGACUCUAUACGUUAAGCAAAGACAGAAUCCUAUAAAGAGAGGACUGUAAUAUGAGAAUUUAGUCUUUUUCAAUGGAAGGGCUCGGCCCUGUUGCGUGUGUAAUAGGGUCCUUCCAUGGAAGGGCUCGGCUUUGGCUACUCUGUAUUAAAGUCUAUAUUGAAUUCACAAAGUUCUUGCAAGAGUAUUAUGUUCUUAAGAAAAUUUUCCACGACAAUUGUUAUUCUGGAAAGGGUAACAUGCCAAAGCGUACAUUAAGCAGAGCGAACAAGCAGGAACAGCCAAGGCCAUGAGUACAUUUACAACAGCUAACAUUCCAAUGUCAGAACGACAUAGGAAGGGGCUGAAACCUGAACAUACAAUGCAUUUCUUUGUGUGUAACAUGAAGAGGUCCUGCCACCAUUAUAACCUAAAAAGGAAUCAAGAGAUGGGCGUUAUUGGGCGUGAACAAGCGUUAUUGGGCGUGAGGGAAGUAACUUUUACAUAUGGAAUGUACUCCCAUACUCUAUGUGUAUAAAAGCAGAGCCGAUGCUCAGGAAAGGCAGUUGAUCCAUCGACCGGCUCGGCUUUGCAACUCUGUAUUAAAGUCUAUAUUGAAUUCACAAAGUUCUUGCAAGAGUAUUAUAUUCUUAAGACAAUUUUCCACUACAUAUUUGGCGAGCUUGCCAGGAGAUCGAAGAGACCUCGGACAGUGUCGUUCUUGGCUGGUGACGGUUUCUCUGGACAAUCUCACAAACGGGUGGCCACCCAACUAUAAACAGAUUUUGUGUCCAACAGGUGAAUUACAGGAGAAGGUGAUUCACUCAAUCCAACCAGGAGACUGGGUGUGGAUCCAGUCCCUGAGGA